UAAGCGUCGUUGUGAGAUGACGUUGAACGGCAGGAAGUCAGCAGAAGCCAUAGUACUUUGCAUCUCGCGAAGGAAGGGC
rfam:Fictibacillus arsenicus strain G25-54, complete genome.